rnacentral:lncRNA from 1 species
AUGGCUGACAAGGGGCUGACGGAAGCAUGUGCUCGGAGCCUGUCCUGGCUUCUCUCAUCCCAGCUAACCUGUCGGGGCGGCCGCCUUCUUCUGAGGAGCUCCCACAGCCUCAUCCUCAGCACCCAGCCUCCUCCCUCCUGUAGCCCCCGGAGCCAGCGCUUCCCACCCUCAUCCCCCGAGCCUGGGGCUGCUGAUCCCACCAAGACCCAGGCCUGGGUUGCAGCUCGCUUUCACACCCAGAUGCAGGAGGGGCGCGGGAGCCCCGCCUGGGGCUGGGCCGGGGGCCAGCUCGACAUCUGGCAUCCAUUACCAACGGUGGCUGCGGAGUGGACUCCUCUGCCUGUCACUCACCUAUCUGCCGGGGUGACAGAGGAGAUGGGAAAAAGGUUUUCACAGCUGGAAUACAUUGAGGGGAAGUGGAGGGGGAGGGUGGAAAAGAGACAAAAAACAACAUUGAACUCAAGAUGGAAAAAAGACAGUAUUAGAGGAGGUUGCAAGAUCCCUGCUUCAACCAGCUCAGGAGGCAAACCACGCAGAGAGAGUCCACGCAGGGUGUCGGUGCAGUGCGCUCUGGAGUGAAAGGAGCCGAGUAACCCUGUUCCCGACUCUCCACCUGCCUCUGUCUUCCUGAGGCGGCAAUUUGGAGGUGAUGGUAAUAAUAACACCUCGCAUUUGUAGAGCACUCUCUUUAGCAUUUCAAUUCAGUUCUGCAAAUAUUUACUGUGCCGACCAUGUGAGGAACCUUCACAUCAAUUACUUCUCCUAACUGGCAAACCCCUCCCCUCAGCCCUGGCACAUGCACACAUCUACACACAAACCCGUGCAUACACGCAUGCACCCAUGAGUGCAUGCAUGCACAUGUACACACAUGCACUUGCACACAAAUGUGAGCACAGGCACAUAUGCAUGCACGCUCACACAUAUGCACACACACACAGGACUUACCCUCUCCCAUCUCCCUCAGCCUUCAUAUGUUUUGCUGUUAACUUAGUGAGUUCACCUUAAACUCUGAGACUAAGCAGGCUGGGACCCUGACCUCCUGAAUUGCCCUGCGGAGGCCGAUCCGUGAGGAUGGUUCCGAUGGGUCAUAGGCAGGUGCUGAGCUGCUGGAUUAGCACAUGGGCAUGGGGGUCAGCCAGCCGCAGUGCAAAUGCCUGCUCUGCUACUGAGCACUUUUGUUUCUCUGGACAAGCUGCUUCAUCUUUCCAUGCCUCAGAUUUCUAUCUGUAAAAUGGGGAUGCUGAUAGUAGCCAACUCAUAGGGUCAUCGUGAGGAUUAAACAGGACAACACAUCUGGCAGAGCGUCUGGUACGCCACUGUGAUGGAGCUGAUGAUACGAUGAUGGAUAUGCAGACAUGCAGAGACAGCUCCCCAUACGAUGACGUCCAUGCAUCACUGUGAGGGAUCCCAGCUAAAAUAUAUUUUCCCUCCUCAGUCCAUGAUCAAUGCCACUACCGGCCUUUGGGCUAAGGUAUUUAUCCCCUAUUUAACUACCCCUGGAAUUCAAUAGCUUAUCAUCUUCUUGUGAGUGAGUUUAGCAGACUCCUUACAAUUUGACUGUAGUUAUGGGAAGGUUCCU